rnacentral:snoRNA from 1 species
AAUAAGAAAGGAACAGGAUCUCUUGCCAUUGGGUGUGAUGCGACUCUGCCCCUUAAAGUGAAUUUGGAGAUUCUACUGCG